UACGAAGGGAGCUAGCGUUGUUCGGAAUCACUGGGCGUAAAGCGCACGUAGGCGGAUGUGUCAGUCAGGGGUGAAAUCCCGGAGCUCAACUUCGGAACUGCCUUUGAUACAGCACGUCUUGAGUCCGAUAGAGGUGGGUGGAAUUCCUAGUGUAGAGGUGAAAUUCGUAGAUAUUAGGAAGAACACCGGUGGCGAAGGCGGCCCCACUGGAUCGGUACUGACGCUGAGGUGCGAAAGCGUGGGGAGCAAACAGG
rnacentral:rRNA from 1 species